GGGAUUGUGGCUCAGUGGUAGAGUGCUUGCCUAGCAAUGUGUGAGGCCCUGGGUUCGAUCCCCAGCACCACUA
rfam:Ictidomys tridecemlineatus contig104288, whole genome shotgun sequence.